rnacentral:rRNA from 1 species
GAUGAACGCUGGCGGCGUGCCUAAUACAUGCAAGUCGAGCGAACAGACGAGGAGCUUGCUCCUCUGACGUUAGCGGCGGACGGGUGAGUAACACGUGGAUAACCUACCUAUAAGACUGGGAUAACUUCGGGAAACCGGAGCUAAUACCGGAUAAUAUAUUGAACCGCAUGGUUCAAUAGUGAAAGACGGUUUUGCUGUCACUUAUAGAUGGAUCCGCGCCGCAUUAGCUAGUUGGUAAGGUAACGGCUUACCAAGGCAACGAUGCGUAGCCGACCUGAGAGGGUGAUCGGCCACACUGGAACUGAGACACGGUCCAGACUCCUACGGGAGGCAGAAGUAGGGAAUCUUCCGAAAUGGGCGAAAGCCUGACGGAGCAACGCCGCGUGAGUGAUGAAGGUCUUCGGAUCGUAAAACUCUGUUAUUAGGGAAGAACAAAUGUGUAAGUAACUAUGCACGUCUUGACGGUACCUAAUCAGAAAGCCACGGCUAACUACGUG